UCAAGUGAAAUCCAGGUCAGUUUAAUUGAAAUGGUAAUUUACAAUUCCUGUCCUAGCUCAGAGUGUCCUCCCUGACAUGGAUUAUCUGGUCACCCUAGUUUAGUAUCACUGUUAUAAUCUCAGUUGAUAGACUUGGCUGUUGUUGCUCUACUUCAUUAUUUGUGACUAUUUUUGAUAGGAUGGAUGAUCUGUUUGUUCCCUCUAGUAUAAAUGCACAUUUACCUUUGAUCUGUAGGAAAAGGUCGCCCUCUGAAUCUGACUGGGGGCUCCAUUGACCUGUCACUCUUCAUGGAGACACAGCUGGGUACAGAUGAGCCUGCUCUCUCCAUCAGGACUCUGUAGACACCAUUGGCCCACUACCUGCGGAACGGCCACAGGCCGACUGUCAUCAGUGAUAUGAAGCCAGGACGGAGCCAAACGACCCUUUUUUCGACACCAUCUGCUACAAGCUCUGAAACCUCAAACUCGCCUGAAAUAUCGCGAGACCUUCUCUCAUCGGC